rnacentral:lncRNA from 1 species
AUAAUGCAAGUGUUUAACAGAUGCUUCACUAUUAAAAUAUUUUCCCCCCAAGUCUCAAAUAUUGAAGAAUCUCUAACCAGGCUCGAAACGCCGGUCUCAGUGGCUAUUGAGUUACCCACCAAGUUACCCCGGUUAGAGCUGUUUGGGGUGGCUCACGUUAUUGCGGCAAACUUUGGAGAUGACGGCUGAGUCCUCCGGGCGAACAUGUCAAGCCGAUUGUAAAUGCUGUUAUUUCCACAUCCUUCAGGGACACCAGUCCCUACGAAGACCUUGGGCGAUUUUGAAGUGCGGGCACCUCGAUUCCCCGAAUCUGUAGUGUGGCUGGUAUCGGUGUUCCCCUGGUUUAACUAGCCUGUUUGAAGGCACAGAUCAUUCAUGGGGAUGUAUAACCGAAACCAGUCCUCUCCACCGCCUGGGGAUCUUCACUUUCGCAGUCUACGACUGCCUGUGACUCCAGAAAGACAAACUGCAGAUUGGCCAAGCUGCCUGAAGACCCAGCCCGACAGCGAUGCCUGUCAGCCCGCGUCGCCCACCAGGGCAGCUGCUCUCCCAACUCG